UACGUAGGGGGCAAGCGUUGUCCGGAAUCAUUGGGCGUAAAGAGCGUGUAGGCGGCCAGGUAGGUCCGUUGUGAAAACUCGAGGCUUAACCUCGAGACGUCGAUGGAAACCAUCUGGCUAGAGUCCGGAAGAGGAGAGUGGAAUUCCUGGUGUAGCGGUGAAAUGCGCAGAUAUCAGGAAGAACACCCGUGGCGAAGGCGGCUCUCUGGGACGUGACUGACGCUGAGACGCGAAAGCGUGGGGAGCAAACAGG
rnacentral:rRNA from 1 species